rnacentral:rRNA from 1 species
GACGAACGCUGGCGGCGUGCCUAAUACAUGCAAGUAGAACGCUGAAGGUGGAGCUUGCUUCUCUGGAUGAGUUGCGAACGGGUGAGUAACGCGUAGGUAACCUGCCUGGUAGCGGGGGAUAACUAUUGGAAACGAUAGCUAAUACCGCAUAAGAGUAGAUGUUGCAUGACAUUUGCUUAAAAGGUGCAAUUGCAUCACUACCAGAUGGACCUGCGUUGUAUUAGCUAGUUGGUGGGGUAACGGCUUACCAAGGCGACGAUACAUAGCCGACCUGAGAGGGUGAUCGGCCACACUGGGACUGAGACACGGCCCAGACUCCUACGGGAGGCAGCAGUAGGGAAUCUUCGGCAAUGGACGGAAGUCUGACCGAGCAACGCCGCGUGAGUGAAGAAGGUUUUCGGAUCGUAAAGCUCUGUUGUAAGAGAAGAACGAGUGUGAGAGUGGAAAGUUCACACUGUGACGGUAUCUUACCAGAAAGGGACGGCUAACUACGUG